AGCGAACGCUGGCGGCAGGCCUAACACAUGCAAGUCGAGCGCCCGUAGCAAUACGGGAGCGGCAGACGGGAGAGUAACACGUGGGAACGUACCCUUCAGUUCGGAACAACCCAGGGAAACUUGGGCUAAUACCGAAUACGUCCGUAAGGAGAAAGAUUUAUCGCUGAAGGAUCGGCCCGCGUCUGAUUAGCUAGUUGGUGAGGUAAUGGCUCACCAAGGCGACGAUCAGUAGCUGGCUGAGAGGAUGAUCAGCCUCACUGGGACUGAGACACGGCCCAGACUCCUACGGGAGGCAGCAGUGGGGAAUAUUGGACAAUGGGCGCAAGCCUGAUCCAGCCAUGCCGCGUGGGUGAUGAAGGCCCUAGGGUUGUAAAGCCCUUUCGGCGGGGAAGAUAAUGACGGUACCCGCAGAAGAAGCCCCGGCUAACUUCGUGCCAGCCGCCGCCGUAAG
rnacentral:rRNA from 1 species